rnacentral:lncRNA from 1 species
CGGGGAGUGUUUACUUCGCCUCCACUUCUGUUCCUCCCCGCCCUGGUGCUGCUCCAGGUCACAUACUCUUCCUGAGCCGGCUUCAGCCUCUCCGCGCAGAAGUCUCCCGGAGCCAUGGCCUAGUAUUCUUAUGUGAAGUCUACCAAGCUUGUGCUCAAGGGAACCGAGGUGAAGAGCUGGGUCCUGCAGCUCCGGCGGGAGCCUCCUCAGUUCUUUUCGGACGCACUCCACCCCCGCGAAUCCGGUGGAAGCCGUGAUGCGGAGAGCCGGCUUCGUGGCCUCCCAGGCUUCGCUCUGACCCUGUCUGGGCUGGAUGGAGGCCGGACCGCCCUUCCUGGCGCCUGUGCAGAGAGGGGCAGCCUCCUGCGCGGACGACCCUGGAAACAGGAUAGACGGGCGGGUGACCCGUGACCCCGUACCCACGAGUUUGGGUCCCUUGAGGCAUCUCUCCAGGCCUCUGCCUGUAAGAAGAAAAAGAGCAAAGAUAAGAAGAGAAAAAGAGAAGAUGAAGAAACCCAGCUUGAUAUGUUGGAAUCUGGUGAACAGUAACAAACUUUGGUGAAAUUUCAGGAACCAUAGCCAUUGAAGUGGAUGAGGGAACCUAUAUACAUGCACUCAACAAUGGUCUUUUUACCCUGGGAGCUCCACACAAAGAAGAAUCGCCCUGAAACCUGGCUAUGGAAAAUAUCUUAGUAUAAAUUCAGAUGAACUUGUUGUUGGCGUUCAGAUGCAAUUGGACCAAGAGAACAAUGGGAACCAGUCUUUCAAAAUGUGAGUGCU